AUUCCGUGUGCACUGUUCUGCUUGUUAGCACACUACAGUGCACUCGUUAGGAACACAACGAUACGACUUUUAUGAAUUUAUACUGGCUUCUUCUAGAAGUAUGAUGGCAUAUUUGGGAAGGAGAGCAGCUACGUUCCACUGCAUCUCUAUUUAAAGCAACAUUUGGCAAAGGGUUAGCAGUUGUUGUACCAUAACUUUAUAAUCGGACAACUAAACGAGGGAAGCAAUGGGCAACUCAGGUCAAAUGAAUGCUUCACGAUUAGUUAUGCCAGUCCUUCUCAUGGUUGGUUGGAUUGUGGGAUGUGCAGUGGUGGUCUACUUUGUCUUUACUUAAGUAGACAUGAAGACACUGAAAUAGUAGCAGAAGAACACACCAUCUUUAAAAUAUUUUAAUAGGCUAAAACAAAAAGUCGAUUUGCAAAUCGGAAUGCUACGUUAACCAGUGUUUCCAUUUUUGUUACCGUAUUGUAAGACCACGCAAGCACACCUAUAUUGCUGCCAGUGACGAAUUAUGAAGAGGCAUGUAGCUUGCGAAUGCUUUUACAAAGUUGUUAAUACAUUUUAAGUCAAAUGUAUUUCUUGCAUGAUUGGAUUUGUUAUAAGUGACAAUUAGAUUAUACAAAACAAUAAAUUAUUUAUUUAAAAAAAAAAAAAAUUAAAUGUAAUUG